GGCCAGUCGGUGAUGUCCCUGAGCCGAUAACUGCAACAACGGAGGUUGCCAGUUGGACCGGUGUGCAUGUCCGCACGACGGAAAGCCUUAAGGUCUACUGCAACCGCCACCUUGAACUUUCGGGUUCAAGGGCUAACCCGACAGCGGCACGACCGGGGAGCUACCUUUCCACAUGAUCGAAUCGCAAGACCUCAGCCGCCC
rnacentral:other from 1 species